rnacentral:rRNA from 1 species
UACGUAGGCAGCGAGCGUUGUUCGGAGUUACUGGGCGUAAAGCGUGCGUAGGCGGUGUUCCAAGUCUGUUGUGAAAUCUCCCGGCUUAACCGGGAGGGUGCGGCGGAAACUGGGAUGCUGGAGUGCGGGAGAGGUAAGCGGAAUUCCCGGUGUAGCGGUGAAAUGCGUAGAUAUCUGGAGGAAUACCGGUGGCGAAGGCGGCAUCCUGGACCGGCAUUGACGCUGAACAGCGAAAGCUAGGGGAGCAAACGGG